rnacentral:rRNA from 1 species
GCGCGCUUAACACAUGCAAGUCGAACGUGAAGCUGGAGCUUGCUCCGGUGGAAAGUGGCGAACGGGUGCGUAACACGUGAGCAACCUGCCCCGAAGACUGGGAUAACACCGGGAAACCGGUGCUAAUACCGGAUACCUUCUUCCGAUCGCAUGGUUGGAUGAAGAAAUGGAUUCCGCUUCGGGAUGGGCUCGCGGCCUAUCAGCUUGUUGGUGAGGUAACGGCCCACCAAGGCGACGACGGGUAGCUGGUCUGAGAGGACGACCAGCCACACUGGGACUGAGACACGGCCCAGACUCCUACGGGAGGCANCAGUGGGGAAUCUUGCUCAAUGGGCGAAAGCCUGAAGCAGCGACGCCGCGUGCGGGAUGAANGCCCUCGGGUUGUAAACCGC